GCAUGGAUAUGGCAUUCUCACUGAAAUGCUUGUACAGAUCGAGAACUUCAUGGUAAAAAGGAACAAUUUCUCAAAGGUCUCUGCUGAGCUUUGCAAGCACAUGAAGUAUCAAAAGCAGAAGAGUAUCUUUGUUCGUAGCUGUUCCUGUCUCUAACCAAGAAGUAAAACAGUUCUUUUUUUUUUUUAAUACAACUUGAAGUUGGAAUACACUCUGCUGGGUUGUGAUAAGUGUUUGCCCUCAUAUUUCCACUUGCACAGAACUGGUGAAGUUCCCCAGGGCUUUGAAUCUAUCAAUCUGUUAAGCCUAAAAUACAUAUAUGACUAUUUUUACUUUUUUGUUAGUAAAUUCAACCAACAAGCACUUCAUGGAGGACAGCCUAAAUUAUGAUAUGAGGUUUUAUAAAAUUUUAUUUUGCUUUUUAUUUCAGAAAAAAUUAACAUGGGCUGAGACGCUGUUAAAUUUCUGGACAGCUCAUAGCCAAUGCUUGAAUACCCUUUUGGGACUUAAGCAGUAUUUUGUAAAUGAUGCAUUGGGCAGCAAAGAAAUUAUAUUGCUACUGUAAAUAUUCAUAGAGGUUUGGUCUUUUACCCAUUUUAAGCUACAGAAUAAGCUAUAGAAAAAUGCAGACUUUUGAUUUGGAAGUUAACUAAUAUUUGGACUAAAUGCAAUAAAUACAUACAGUGUUACA